GGCAUUUUGAUUCACAUCCUGUUACUCCAAGGGAUAAUUUUGCAUAUGAUUGAUGAUCCUCAACAAUGUGUUUUGUCUCACAUUGGUCUAUCUCAUGCACCUUAAUUUUACUUUCCAAUAUAUUACUGUUGGUAGACCACUUUCUUAGCUUGAACCCCCCUUGUGCCAUUCUGCUCAUAGUCUUCUCAUAUAACUGAAAUGCUUUAUCUACCGUACUUUCCCCACUAACUAAAUCGUCUACAUAGAAACUUUCUAGCACCUUCUUCACAAACUCAGGAUCUGUUGAAAGAUACUUUGAGACAUGAUGCCUUAAUGUUGCAUUGAGUAAGAAUGGAGAUGGAUUCAAUCCAAAUACUACUCUACAAAACCUAUAAACAACUGUUUACCACCUAUCACUCUCAAUAUCAUUUACCCACAAAAACCUCAAACAGUCUCGAUCUGCCUCAUCAACCUCCACAUUCAAAAAAGCCUUUUCAAUAUCGCCUACUAAAGCAAUCCUGUUUUCUCUAAACCGCAUCAAUAUGCUAUAUAGUAAUGGAUUGAGGGAUGGCCCAACAUGCAAGCAGUCAUUAAGUGAUGUUCCUGAUUUACAUUCUUUAGAGGAAGCAUCAUAAACAACCCGAACCUUUGUGGUCACUGCAUCUUUGCGGAUGACCGCCUGGUGUGGUAAAUAAUAAACUUUAUCAACUUUCUCUAAUGCUACUAACGGUUCUACAACCCCUUGCUCUACCUGUUCUCUGAUGAUAGAAUCAUACUCUGUCAACAAUGCUGGCUCCUUCUUCAGUCGUCGUAACUGAUUCUUCAUUCUACUUAAGCUAUUUGCAUAAUUGUCAGGCAAUUUGUCGAGACUUUCCUUCCAGGGUAGUUUCACAGAAUAUCUACUACCUGUGAAAGAUAUGCCAUCUAAAAACUCCUCAUGAACCUUAUCUUCCUCACAGAUACCUAACCCUUCAAAACUCCACAGCUUCUGUACAUUACUCUCCAAACUAUCUUCACUAUUCAUUCUCUGAGCUACAAAAUUUACUUGGGCUAACUCUGCUCCCUCUAUAUCUUGCACUCUCAAAGGCCCUGAUAAAACCCAUCCUAACUCAGUUUCUAUGGCAACUGGCUCUCCUGAUUUACCUCUCUUGGUUACACCUGUCUGAAAAUUCCAGAGGUAAUCUGCCCCUAUCAACACAUCUAUCUCUAGCUCACCCUGGCACUUCGAGACAUCUGAAAACCAUAUAUACCUUUCAAAUGUGGGUAUUCUCUUCUUGCUAGUUCUACAUGGCUAUUCUGUAUCCUACAAAUUUCUGGCACUACAAAUGCUUCUAAGCAGUUAACCUUAUUCCCGUUAACCGGUUCAAGCUUUAAUUCGACCACCUCCCUGUGCUCGGCAUUGGUACAUUUUUGACCGAACGUAUUAAUCCCUAACAAUUCCCUUCUUAAGAGAGGAUGUCCACAAAAAUCAAACAUAAGGCGGCCACGACGGAAAAAUCGAUUUUGCUCAAAUUUUGCCCAGAUAUACCUUAUUAUAUCGGAAAAUGCACCACAUAAUUUUUUAGGUCAAAUGCUUUUUUAACUUUGAGAAAAUGCCGUUUUAACACGACCACCCUAA